GACGAACGCUGGCGGCGUGCCUAAUACAUGCAAGUUGAGCGCUGAAGGUUGGUACUUGUACCAACUGGAUGAGCAGCGAACGGGUGAGUAACGCGUGGGGAAUCUGCCUUUGAGCGGGGGACAACAUUUGGAAACGAAUGCUAAUACCGCAUAAAAACUUUAAACACAAGUUUUAAGUUUGAAAGAUGCAAUUGCAUCACUCAAAGAUGAUCCCGCGUUGUAUUAGCUAGUUGGUGAGGUAAAGGCUCACCAAGGCGAUGAUACAUAGCCGACCUGAGAGGGUGAUCGGCCACAUUGGGACUGAGACACGGCCCAAACUCCUACGGGAGGCAGCAGUAGGGAAUCUUCGGCAAUGGACGAAAGUCUGACCGAGCAACGCCGCGUGAGUGAAGAAGGUUGUCGGAUCGUAAAACUCUGUUGGUAGAGAAGAACGUUGGUGAGAGUGGAAAGCUCAUCAAGUGACGGUAACUACCCAGAAAGGGACAGCUAACUACGUG
rnacentral:rRNA from 1 species